ACGAACGCUGGCGGCGUGCUUCACACAUGCAAGUCGCACGGAAAGGCCCUGCUUUUGUGGGGUGCUCGAGUGGCGAACGGGUGAGUAACACGUGAGUAACCUGCCCUUGACUUUGGGAUAACUUCAGGAAACUGGGGCUAAUACCGGAUAGGAGCUCCUGCUGCAUGGUGGGGGUUGGAAAGUUUCGGCGGUUGGGGAUGGACUCGCGGCUUAUCAGCUUGUUGGUGGGGUAGUGGCUUACCAAGGCUAUGACGGGUAGCCGGCCUGAGAGGGUGACCGGCCACAUUGGGACUGAGAUACGGCCCAGACUCCUACGGGAGGCAGCAGUGGGGAAUAUUGCACAAUGGGCGGAAGCCUGAUGCAGCAACGCCGCGUGCGGGAUGACGGCCUUCGGGUUGUAAACCGCUUUCGCCUGUGACGAAGCGUGAGUGACGGUAAUGGGUAAAGAAGCACCGGCUAACUACGUG
rnacentral:rRNA from 1 species